GUCGAGUGCUCAUGAUGAAUACUUUAUUUUAACUCAGAACACUAUACAAACCAAACAAACAACGGCAAAACUAACGUCACGUUCUGCAGGCUACUAAGCUAUGCAAAAACAAGCUCCCACAAACCCAGGUGGGAAAAAAAAAAAAAACUACUUAAGUAUGAUCUCCAAUUAGAGACAACGAGGACCAGCUGCCUCUAAUUGGAGAUCACCCCCCCCCAAAAAAAAACAUUGAAAUAGAAAACUAGAACCUAAACAUAGAAAUACACAACAUUAAAAAAAAAAAAUGUCACACCCUGACCACUCUACCAUAGAAAAUAACGCUUACCAUGGUCAGGACGUGACAGUAUCUGUACAUUACUUUCCUAUUUAUAUUUAUAUUCCUAAAGAAAAUAAUGUACUUUUUACUCCAUGCAUUUUCCCUGACACCCAAAAGCACUUGUUACAUUUUGAAUGCUUAGCAGAACAGAAAAUUGUCAUCCAGGACCUCUAUACCAGGCAGUGUCAGAGGAAGGCCCUAAAAAUGUCCAAAGACUCCAGACACCCUAGUCAUAGACUGUUCUCCCUGCUACCGCAUGGCAAGUGGUACCGGAGUGCCAACUCUGGUCCAAAAGGCUCCUUAUCAUUUUCUAUCCCCAAGCCAUAAGACUGCUGAACAUCUAGUCAAAUGGCUAGCCGGACUACUUGCAUUGACCCCACCUUUUUUUUACGCUGCUGCUACUUGCUGUUUAUUAUCUAUGCAUAGUCACCACAAUUAACCUGUACCCCCGCACAUUGACUCGGUACCGGUACCCCCUGUAUAUAGCCUCGUUAUUGUUAUUUUAUGAUGUAACUUUUUUUACCUUAGUUUAUUUAAUAAAUAUUUACUCUUAUGUUUCUUAAAACUGCAUUUUUGGUUAAGGGGAAUACCUGUUGUAUUCCGCACAUGUGACAAAUAAAAUGUUAUUAGAUUGUUUAUUUGAUUUGAUUAAUGUAAACCGCGUACCAAGCUAGCAAGUUAAGAGCCUUGUGGCUAACAGCUAGCAAUAUCGAGCACCGUAUAACGCAAUAGCCGCGAGGUUUGUGGGGCGUAUUCUAGCAGCUGCUUCCCCUUACGAAAAAAGAUUGCAGUCAGAGUGCAGUUUAACUGUAGUACAAUGCAGUAUAAAUGCAGUUAAAGUGCAGUCUAACUACAGUUAUUCUGCAAUUACUGCAUCCAAAAUACGUCCAAAAUAAUACAUCCAAAAUACCAGUCGAUUGCAGUUACUGCACUUUUACUACAGUUUCCAAACGGCAAUCUUUUUUUAAGGGCCAUGGUGAAGGUGUGCCGUGGCUAGCUCAGUGCUGGCUGAAGGAAACCGAGUGACCGAGUUAGCCUUCCGAAAGAGUGCUCCCGUGACCGGCGGUACCGUGAAGGCAGAGAGGGUUUGUCUAGCUAACACAACAGGUGAACGAGACUAGGGAGCUAGCAAUGCUUCUAUGUUGUAGGUAAGGUAUUCUAGUGAGGCAUCUCAGCAAGCUAGCCAAGUUAGCCGUAGCCUUGCAGCAUCGGCUAACCGAGUCUCAAUAGCUAGCAGUGACACUGGCUACUAACAGACAGAAGAAGAAAUGGGAAUUUCUACUCAAAAGCAAAAACUAUCCGACAGACAGACAGACUACACAAGGCCUAGCUCAGAAGCCCUAUCAUGGCGUCCAACAACACAGCAUGCAUCGCCCAGGCCAGGAAACUGGUAGAGCAGCUGAAGAUGGAGGCCAACAUCGACAGGAUAAAGGUGUCCAAAGCAGCAGCAGACUUAAUGUCAUACUGCGAAGCCCAUGCCAAAGAGGACCCCCUCCUGUCGCCAGUGCCCGCAUCCGAAAACCCUUUUAGGGAGAAGAAGUUCUUCUGUGUCAUCCUGUAAACAGGAUGUGGUUUAUUUGGUCUGCUCAUCUUGGGACAUGAACGAGGACGUUCAAUAGGUAGACAUCUUCUAACAGGAGGGCUUGGUGAAGUACUAGUGCCCCUUUCUCUACAAUGGCACCUAAAGAGUGCAAUUAAAAACCACAGAGUAACACGUAACCAUUUACAGCGGUUAAGGGGUGUGCAGCAUGUUUGAUGGAUCCAUCUGUGUAGUCAGAUUACAACAGAAGAUAAGUAUGGUUAUCCACCCAAAAAACAUGAUGGACAACCAAUCAACCAAGUCUUCAGGUUGUGUUGGGUUUUUUAAAAUGAAGGAUAAAACAACAACAAAAUAUUGUGUGGUUCUUUUGGAACUUGAAAUCCAAGUGUUAUGUUCAAUGGUUUGUGGUGGGUUGGGUAGGGUAGGUGUGCUGGCUAACUGAGCUGCUUACCACGAGAUAUUACCACCUGUUUAUCUGAAUGUUUUGAUUUUUGUUGUUUAUCUCAUGUUGAUUUUGAUUCAUUGGUUUAGGUUCAUUGGUUUGGCUAUAUCACUUAGAUAUCUUUGUAUUAUUGUACAGUACUAGUCAAAAGUUUGGACACACCUACUCAUUCAAGGGUUUUUAUUUAUUUUAAAUAUUUUCUACAUUGUAGAAUAAUAGUGAAGACAUCAAAACUAUGAAAUAACACAAAUGGAAUCAUGUAGUAACCAAAAAGUGUUAAACAAAUCAAAAUAUAUUUUAUAUUUGAGAUUCUUCAAAGUAGCCACCCUUUGCCUUGAUGACAGCUUUGCACACUCUUGGCAUUCUCUCAACCAGCUUCACCUGGAAUGCUUUUCAAACAGUCUUGAAGGAGUUCCCAAAUAUGCUGAGCACUUGUUGGCUGCUUUUCCUUCCCCAAAGCAAGUCUCUUCUUAUUAUUGGUGUUCUUUAGUAGUGGUUUCUUUGCAGCAAUUCGACCAUGAAGGCCUGAUUCACGUAGUCUCCUCUGAACAGUUGAUGUUGAGAUGUAUCUGUUACUUGAACUCUGUGAAGCAUGUAUUAGGGCUCCAAUUUCUGAGGCUGGUAACUCAAAUGAACUUAUCCUCUGCAGCAGAGGUAACUCUGGGUCUUCCUUUCCUGUGGCGGUCCUCAUGAGAGCCAGUUUCAUCAUAGCGCUUGAUGGUUUUUGCGACUGCACUUGAAGAAACUUUCAAAGUUCUUAAAAUGUUCCGGAUUGAUUGACCUUCAUGUCUUAAAGUAAUGAUGGACUGUCGUUUCUUAUUGCUUAUUCGAGCUGUUCUUGCCAUAAUAUGGACUUGGUCAUUUACCAAAUAGGGCUACCCCCCUACCUUGUCAUAUCACAACUGAUUGGCUCAAUCGCUUUAAAAAGGAAAGAAAUUCCACAAAUUAACUUUUAACAAGGCACACCUGUCAAUUGAAAUGCAUUCCAGGUGACUACCUCAUGAAGUUGGUUGAGAGAAUGCCAAGAGUGUGCAAAGCUGUCAUCAAGGCAAAGUGUGGCUACUUUGAAGAAUCUCAAAUAUAAAAUAUAUUUUGAUUUGUUUAACCCUUUUAUGUUACCACAUGAUUCCAUAUGUGUUAUUUCAUAGUUUAGAUGUCUUCACUAUUAUUUUACAAUGUAGAAAAUAGUAAAAGUAAAGAAAAACUGGAGUGAGUAUGUGUGUCCAACCUUUUGACUGGUACUGUAUGUGAUUACUGAAACGGCUGUUUAAACUUUUAUUUUUUUACAUCGGAGUUGGUGAAAGCUUUUUAAUGGGAAGUUUGAACAUUCAAUUCAGUGAUAUUCUUUACAGACAUGUUUCUUUAAACUUCUGAGAAUAGUUUUUUCUUCAGUAUCUAAACAUAUAUCUGGCAAUGUGAUACGGUAUUUGUUUCCUUUCAGAUACAAGCUCUCUUUUUACUCUUUGUAUAAAAAUGCUAGCAAGUAAACUGUGUUGUGCUGUGCGUUCUGAAUGUUUGUGUUGAUAUCACUAAUAAUUGCAUGAAAUUAUCAAACAACAAUUUUUUCUUUUGUUUUAAUGUGGAGAUUGUAUGAACAAGGCAGCCUCCGUCUGGUAGUGCCAACUGUAUUAAAAUUAUAGUAAUGAUUCAACAUAGACUCCAUAAAGACAUCUCUGUCAUGGGAAAAACUGAAGUGACGUAACUGAGCUGCAAGCCGAUGAGGAAUUUCACAAUUGGUUAACAUUAGAUUAAGGUUACGGUUAAUGUUAGGCUUAGGGGUAAAGUUAGGGUUAGAUUACAUUUUUGAGUUUAGAAUAGGGUCAGUUUUAGGUUUUGACUAGCUGGGCUGUUAAUGGGAUGCUGGUCAGAAAAGUCCCUUAAGUUUAGUAUUUUGGGGUUUGGGUCAGGGUUAGUGUUUUAGGGGGUGGAUAUGUACAGCACUUUGAACAUUAAGCUACUAGUUGAAGUAUUAGACAGCGAUGACCAUUUACAUUCACAUGCCCCAGAUCAUGAGGGUUAUUCAUAAAACUAUAUCAAAUGUAUCGAUCACCCAUUCGAGUUGAAAGGAGGAAUCCAGUAGAUAUCCCAGACUGCGCAGAAUCUAUAAUAGGUGACUGAUAAUUGCUGUACCAUCGUUUUGGUUGAGUACCUGUUCCCUUCAUCACAAAACAAGAGGUAGGCCUACACAUAUUAUGAGGUCCAUUCAUAUUUAUAAUCUUGGCAAUUGUCCACAUGCCUAAAUAAAUGAAGGAAGUUGCACAUAAGAAGUGAUUCUUUUUUUAAAUUCACUGCAGUAUUGCAGAAACGUGUUGUGUGUUACUAAAUACUCAAACAGAACGGUAGAAAAGGAGAAUGAUGAUCGUCUUGGAGUGGAGAUGGCGGUCCAUGAAUUCUAACACAAUCGUUCACAUUUGUCUAGUUCAACCAGU
rnacentral:lncRNA from 1 species